rnacentral:lncRNA from 1 species
AGCUAUACAAGGGCUGCGCUGUUAGACCUCUGAGUUGAAAGGGAAAGACACGGGAAGGUUGGUGGCUGGCAUGACUUAUAUAACGAGAUGAGGAAUGUUAACAGAAUACCAACCGCCAAAUUCCAGGCAGAACCAAAACCUCAGAAGACUUUCACCUUGGCACCCUGAGUGCUUCAGAGAAGGGUUAGGAAGCUCUCCUCAGAAGCUAGGCUAAUGCUACCAAGACUUUCACGCUGUGAGGAGAGAACUAGAAUCCACAGGAACUGUGACUUUCUACUACAGAUUUGACGUAACCCUGAGAUUUAGAUGUUUACCAUAUACAAGACACUUAGUAGACGGGAGUACCUGACAUGCCGUCCCCCAUAGCUAACAUUUCUCUCACAGCAGCCACCCUGCUCUCCUUAUUUUAGAGAGGUCUGUUCUAUGGGACAGUAGCAGCCACACGGUGCUCUCCCAUUAACUCCUUUUAUAAAAGUUCGGUUUAGAUAUAACCAAGGAUUUGAUGCUAUAUGGACAAGCUGGGCCCAUGGCUGGGACUUCGUAUCACUGACCAGUACACAGUAUCCCCAGCUACUGGAAUAAUUUAAGCAAAAAGCACAUUUCCAAUUGGAAGUAAAACGGCAAUGCUUCAUAACUUUCAAAUGUUGACUUAAAAAAAUUGUUCUCUGAGCCUGACUAGAGUUAUCCUGAGUAAUAGUAGUAGCUGAUUACCAGAUAGCUAGGUUGCUAGAACACUACUGUCAGAAUAAAAAAGAAUUUGUUUUAGAAAUGAGACUUUUUUAAAAACUGGGUAAUAAACAUUAACAGUGCCUUUAGAAGAAGGGCAUGAAGCAGUUAACAAGAAGUCCUUUCACAGGCAGGUGACAAGAGCUGCUGCUUUUUUUCUUUUUCUUUUCUCAUCCUCAAGGUCACUCCGGACAUUGAGAAGUCCAGCCUGGGAAUGUAGCUCAGAGGUGAAUGCUGUCUAACACAUGUGUGGUCACGGUCAUGGUCUUGGGGUAGGGUGUGAAAACAUGGCAGGUGUGUGCCUUCAAAGUGUCUCUCAGUAUAAAGCCAUGCUGGGGCUGGAGCAAUGGCUUCUUCCAGAGGACCCAGGUACAAUUCCCAGCGCCCAUGUGGUGACCCAUAACCAGCUGUAAUUCCAGUCCCAGGAGAUCUAACACACACUUCUGGCCUCUACAGUUACCAGGAAUUCAGACGUACAUAAAAUUAAUAAUAACAGAAAAGUAAUAAAGUAACAUGUAAUAUAAAAUAAAUAUAUUUAUACUAUAUUAUUAUAUUAAUAAUAAACAACAUAAAAAUUAAUAAAAGCCAAUACUAG